CCCUUUCUUUCGGCUCUGACCGAUUUGAUUCGGGUGGUUCUGGUUCUGAGAUUUCCCUUUUGUUUUCUUGCGGUCCUUCGGAUCUUGGGAAUAAAUGUCAAUAAAAAUUAGAUUUUUAUUUGACUCGGGUGUUAUUUGCUCGAUUUUUCGUUUUAUUGGACGUUUUUAAGCUUGAGUUUUCGGUUUCCACGCUUUUUUUUACUUGCAUGAUUUCGAGAUGUAGAGAAUCAUAUGCUAUUUCGUCUUAAAGUACUCGGUUUUUCUUGAUCUCUAUAGGGACCAAUCUCAAAACGCGAUCUUUUGGGCGUUUCGUUGUAUGGAAUGACCGAGUUUUUGGAUCGGCAUUUACUUUCUCGUGGACCUUUCUUCUGGGAUCUAAAUGUGGCGUUGAGAUGCAUAUGACGACACUCUCUUCUUGUGAAAAUCGAAAGCAAUUUUAUUUUUUUGUCGAUAUUUUACGUUCAUUCUCAUUCGUGCAGCAGUUUGAUCUCUCAGCACUUGGCUUUUAAUUCUUUAUUUCUGUUGCACUUUGUUAUGCUUUGUUCAAUCUCACCAGUUUGGGUCUGUAAUAAGUUGAUGGCGAAUAUGAGAGCUGCUGCUAACAUGAGGAGCUCAGCGCCCGGUGGGAAACAGUCGUUUCUUCCUCCAAGAUGCCCUCUUCCAACCGUAUCCCCAUCCUACGGUGACUAUGGAUCUAUAGGACCCAGAGGCAUCCCAAGACCAAAAGAUGGUCAGAGACACCAGCGUACUUCCUCUGAGAGCUUUCUCAUCGAGGAGCAACCUCUGUGGCUCGAUGACUUACUUAAUGAACCAGAGACGCCGGUGAGGAGAGGAGCUCAUCGUCGUUCAACAAGCGACUCUUUUGCAUACUUGGAUGGAGUCAGUUUGUCCAACGUUGGUAGUGUAGGUCAGGAGCAACAGAGCUUUCCAGCACUAUCUCCUUGGAUGUCGCAGGAACUCAAUCACCAUAAAGAUGUAGGACAUUUUUCUUAUUAUCCAGAGGCAAAUUCAUCUGGAAGGCCUCAACUCAAAGUAUGGGAAUUGGCCGCCGAUGUUGUCACCUACCCUGGCAGCACUCUCUUGGCAAACAACAAGACGAUUCAUCCCCAGCCAACCUGUGUUCAGACAGAAUCUGAUGGAUUAAACCCAGAUGUUGUUGAAAAGAAUGAGCACCUAGAUGGUGCCCAGGAUAAAAAGGGUCCCUUUGAAAUUAAGGAAGACUCUCAUUCUAAGCAGACAGAGAUGGAUUCAAAGCGAGUUAAACAGCAAUAUGCUCAGCGCUCCCGUGUCCGGAAACUGCAAUAUAUUGCUGAGCUCGAGAAACACGUCCAGGCCUUACAGGCAAAGGGACUAGAAGUUUUUGCUGAGCUGGAAUUUCUGGAUCAGCAAAAUCUUAUUCUAAAUUUGGAGAAUAAAGCCUUGAAGCAACGACUGGACAGUCUGGCUCAGGAGAAACUUAUAAAACGCCUUCAACAGGAGACGCUAGAACGAGAAAUAGCUCGUCUUCGAACACUGUAUCAGCAACAACAGCAGCAGCAGCGAUUCCAAGAACAGCCUCACCCUAUCCAUGCUCGUCGUAGCAGCAGAGACCUAGAUUUACAAUUUGCCAAUCUAUCUUUGAAGCCCAAGGACAAAACUUCUGUGUGUGAAUCUGUCACUGGUCCUCUACGCUUUUAGAUUUAACUCUUCUGACCUGCUGUGAGUUCCAGACAUCGUAUUUGACUUCUUCAUCCACCUACAUUUGUCGAUUGGGGAAGUAGGCCAGAGACUUGGACCUCACAGACAAGGCAAAUAACUCCGGAACAAUAACUGUCUGAUAUCUGCUUCCUUUUCCUCGUUUUGAUAUGUGCACCUGGCGGUCAUCUUCAGCUCAUACGACCAGUCGGUGGUGAUAGUAGCUCUUGAACUGUCAUGUUGGUUCCUACAUUUCUGUAUUCUCAUGACUACCACUUUGUUUCAUCCCUUUUGUGUCAUUGUCAUCUUCAUUCCAAGGCACCGAUCCUUCCCUUUCGCAUCCUUGUAUCUGCAUUGUCAUCAAGACAUCUGCUACCAAUCUUGUUCAUGUUUGUGCAUCUGUUUGACACCGAAGAACUGAUCAUCAAUUCAACCUCUGUGCACAACUGGUGGUAUGUUCUUUGCUUUGAUGGAAUGAACUCAGGCAGAUCCCUUGCUAGAUAAUUAGCUGCAGUAGUAGCUAGAAAUGUGUAUGGUAAAAUAUGCCCUGUGGUUGUUCACUAAGCUCAAAUUGCAGCUAUCAAUAAUGUUAUGAUUUUUGUGGGAUGUAUUCAUAAUACUCUCAUCUGUGUAAAUCCAAACUAAUGCACUUGAGGUUUAUACUCAAACCUUGUGAUCAAA